CCGAUGAAGCCGCAAGCAGAGACGACGAGGAUGAGAACGCCGAGGACGACGACGGGCCAACGGAGGAGAUUGACACACUCGUUGUCAGGUUUCGAGGCAAGCCAUAUCCCUGACGCCGUUAUAGGUAUCGAACAUAGUAACGCUAGUAAGUUCAGUAUCGCCGUUAAGUUAUUCGCUAACGCCAUUAGCUCUCUCUCUUAAAAAUUUGAAGAAGUAAAGAAAGUGAGAGGACUGUCUCUGUUUUUCUUACUUGUAUGAUGAGGUCGGUGCCUUGGUCGUUAGUGUGAGCUUUGUUUUAUGCUAAAAUUUACACAACACGAGGUUCGGUCCGGUACAGUUAUCCGGCUAAGUGCUGAUUUAAAGGGAAUGGAUAUGUGGUUUUAUAAUAUUGUAUCCUUUUUAACAGUGUUCACGUUGAUUUUUUUCUUCAGGUAACUUGUUAAAAGGGGAAUUUUUAUUUCCAGUUCAUUGCGGUGAACAAGUUAAUAUGGCCGGACAGUUUUUUCUUUUGGGUUUAGCAGUGGAAUCCUGUCACAUGGAUGUACACGUGGAGAAAGGAGAUGCCUUUUGAAAGUUUUGAAUUGCGUUUGUGUUUUAAGGCGAUGCCGUAACCAUAGGACAUAAUUAACCCCGGUUUCUUAGUUAGGAUUCUUAACUUAUGAUUUAACUUUUUUUUUUAUAUUUUUCGGUUAAGAUACGGUUCUUACAUCUUUUAUUUAAGAGACGGUUCUUAGCUUUUUUUAGUUAAAAUCUAAGAAAAGUUAAGAACCAUUUUUUAACUGAAGUUAAAAACUCCAGUUAAGAGACUGAAGUUAAUCAUGGUCUUAUGCUCUUAUAGUUUUUAUUUUUUGAAUGCCCAC
rnacentral:lncRNA from 1 species